AUUGUCUCAAGUUUUAGUAGGUCUUUCAGGGAAUCAGCCAAAGGAAUUUCGCAGCGGUAUCUGUGCACCUUUGGAAAUGGCACCAAGUGCCUCUUUUAAGACCUUGAGUCUUGGCCUCCUGCUUUUCUCGGCGAUCGAGGCCGCUCGAGUCAAGCGCGAAGCGGUAGGUAACUCCGCCUGCCAACCUCUGCCUGCCCCC